rnacentral:rRNA from 1 species
UACAGAGGGGGCAAGCGUUGUUCGGAAUUACUGGGCGUAAAGGGUGCGUAGGCGGCCUGUUAAGUCGAACGUGAAAUCCCCGGGCUCAACCCGGGAACUGCGUCCGAUACUGGCAGGCUUGAAUCCGGGAGAGGGAUGCGGAAUUCCAGGUGUAGCGGUGAAAUGCGUAGAUAUCUGGAGGAACACCGGUGGCGAAGGCGGCAUCCUGGACCGGCAUUGACGCUGAGGCGCGAAAGCCAGGGGGAGCAAAACGGGG